rnacentral:rRNA from 1 species
UGGGGAAUUUUGCACAAUGGGGGAAACCCUGAUGCAGCGACGCCGCGUGAUUUAGAAGGCCUUCGGGUUGUAAAAAUCUUUUUUACGGGAUGAAAAUGACAGUACCGUAAGAAUAAGGUCCGGCUAAAUACGUGCUAGCAGCCGCGGUAAUACGUAUGGACCGAGCGUUGUCCGGAAUCAUUGGGCGUAAAGGGUACGUAGGCGGCCUAGUAAGUUAGAAGUGAAAUAAUAUAGCUCAACUAUAUAAAGCUUUUAAAACUGCUAGGCUUGAGAGAUGGAAGGGAAAGUGGAAUUCCUAGUGUAGCGGUGAAAUGCGCAGAUAUUAGGAAGAAUACCGGUGGCGAAGGCGACUUUCUGGUCAUCAUCUGACGCUGAGGUACGAAAGCGUGGGUAGCAAACAGG